CGGUAAUUCCAGCUCCAAUAGCGUAUACUAAAGUUGUUGCAGUUAAAAAGCUCGUAGUUGGAUUUCUGCGGGGACGGAGCGGCCGGUCGCAACUUGCGACUCGAGCUAGCGCUUUCCCCGCAUCCUGCCGCGAACCGUGCUACCAUUAGCUUGGUGGCGCUGGGGAUCGGCUCGAUUACUUUGAGAAAAAUAGAGUGUUCAAAGCAGGCCACACGCCUUGAAUAAGUUAGCAUGGAAUAAUGACUAAGGACUUCGGUUCUAUUUUGUUGGUGUUCGGGACUGAAGUAAUGAUUGAUAGGGACAGUUGGGGCGGUCUGUAUUCCAAAGCGAGAGGUGAAAUUCUUAGACCUUCGGAAGACAAACAGCUGCGAAAGCGUUCCGCAAGGAUGUUCCCUUUGAUCAAGAACGAAAGUUGGGGGAUCGAAGACGAUCAGAUACCGUCGUAGUCUCAACUAUAAACUAUACCAGCUAGGGAUCGGUCAACGUUUAAUCAUUCGACUUGAUCGGCACCUUAUGAGAAAUCAAAGCAUCUGGGUUCCGGGGGGAGUAUGGUCGCAAGGCUGAAACUUAAAGGAAUUGACGGAAGGGCACCACCAGCCGUGGAGCCUGUGGCUUAAUUUGACUCAACACGGGAAAACUUACCAGGUCCAGACAUAGUAAGGAUUGACAGAUUGAUAGCUCUUUCUUGAUUCUGUGGGUGGUGGUGCAUGGCCGUUCUUAGUUGGUGGAGUGAUUUGUCUGGUUAAUUCCGUUAACGAACGAGACCCCAGCCUGCUAAAUAGCGCGGCUGAGCUUUGCUCGGUGCGAGCUUCUUAGAGGGACUAUGAUGCGCGAUAGCACAUGGAAGUUUGGGGCAAUAACAGGUCUGUGAUGCCCUUAGAUGUUCUGGGCCGCACACGGGCUACACUGGCGCCUGCAACGAGCAUAUCAGCUGGCCCGAGAGGGUCUUGGCUAAUCUUUUGAACCGGCGCCGUGCUUGGGAUUGACCAUUGCAAUUGUUGGUCAUGCAACGAGGAAUGCCUUGUAAACGCGAGUCAUCAGCUCGCAUUGAAUACGUCCCUGCCCUUUGUACACACCGCCCGUCGCUCCUACCGAUGAAUGUUCCGAUGAAAUUUUCGGAGAGCGCCAGAGAACGGGGCUCCGCCUUGCAGAUCUGGAGGCUCAAAGUCACUUAAAUCUGAACAUUUCGAGGAAGGAGAAGUCGUAACAAGGUAGCCGU
rnacentral:rRNA from 1 species